CAUCUGUGCAUGUUUCCAAGGCUCAUGAACAAGAAAAAAGUAACGCAAAAAUGUUUAAAGAAGCUAUUCUAAAGACUAAUGAUGAAUACACAACUUGCUUCAACAUAAUGUGAAAAGACAUGUAUUGCUCAAGGUCUUGGAUACACUCAUUGUGAGAUGAAGUGUGAUAGCAGCUGCAACGCCAAGUUGCUAAAAGAGAAACUCGAGAGAUUGAAGGAUUUGAAGCCUUGAAGAUGGACCAAAGGAUGCAAAAAUAGAAAAUAUAUAGG